ACUCCUACGGGAGGCAGCAGUAGGGAAUCUUCCACAAUGGGCGCAAGCCUGAUGGAGCAACACCGCGUGAGUGAAGAAGGGUUUCGGCUCGUAAAGCUCUGUUGUUAAAGAAGAACACGUAUGAGAGUAACUGUUCAUACGUUGACGGUAUUUAACCAGAAAGUCACGGCUAACUACGUGCCAGCAGCCGCGGUAAUACGUAGGUGGCAAGCGUUAUCCGGAUUUAUUGGGCGUAAAGAGAGUGCAGGCGGUUUUCUAAGUCUGAUGUGAAAGCCUUCGGCUUAACCGGAGAAGUGCAUCGGAAACUGGAUAACUUGAGUGCAGAAGAGGGUAGUGGAACUCCAUGUGUAGCGGUGGAAUGCGUAGAUAUAUGGAAGAACACCAGUGGCGAAGGCGGCUACCUGGUCUGCAACUGACGCUGAGACUCGAAAGCAUGGGUAGCGAACAGGAGUUAGUAUACCCUCGGUAGGAGUACCG
rnacentral:rRNA from 1 species